AGUGAACGCUGGCGGCAGGCCUAACACAUGCAAGUCGAACGGCAGCACAGUAAGAGCUUGCGCUUACGGGUGGCGAGUGGCGGACGGGUGAGGAAUACAUCGGAAUCUACUUUUUCGUGGGGGAUAACGUAGGGAAACUUACGCUAACACCGCAUACGACCUACGGGUGAAAGCAGGGGAUCUUCGGACCUUGCGCGAUUGAAUGAGCCGAUGUCGGAUUAGCUAGUUGGCGGGGUAAAGGCCCACCAAGGCGACGAUCCGUAGCUGGUCUGAGAGGAUGAUCAGCCACACUGGAACUGAGACACGGUCCAGACUCCUACGGGAGGCAGCAGUGGGGAAUAUUGGACAAUGGGCGCAAGCCUGAUCCAGCCAUGCCGCGUGGGUGAAGAAGGCCUUCGGGUUGUAAAGCCCUUUUGUUGGGGAAGAAGAGCAGCAGGUUAAUACCCCGCUGUUCUGACGGUACCCAAAGAAUAAGCACCGGCUAACUUCGUG
rnacentral:rRNA from 1 species